UCCUGACUGACCGAUAGUGAACCAGUACCGUGAGGGAAAGGCGAAAAGAACCCCGGCGAGGGGAGUGAAAAAGAACCUGAAACCGUGUACGUACAAGCAGUGGGAGCACGCUUAGGCGUGUGACUGCGUACCUUUUGUAUAAUGGGUCAGCGACUUAUAUUCUGUAGCAAGGUUAACCGAAUAGGGGAGCCGAAGGGAAACCGAGUCUUAACUGGGCGUUAAGUUGCAGGGUAUAGACCCGAAACCCGGUGAUCUAGCCAUGGGCAGGUUGAAGGUUGGGUAACACUAACUGGAGGACCGAACCGACUAAUGUUGAAAAAUUAGCGGAUGACUUGUGGCUGGGGGUGAAAGGCCAAUCAAACCGGGAGAUAGCUGGUUCUCCCCGAAAGCUAUUUAGGUAGCGCCUCGUGAAUUCAUCUCCGGGGGUAGAGCACUGUUUCGGCAAGGGGGUCAUCCCGACUUACCAACCCGAUGCAAACUGCGAAUACCGGAGAAUGUUAUCACGGGAGACACACGGCGGGUGCUAACGUCCGUCGUGAAGAGGGAAACAACCCAGACCGCCAGCUAAGGUCCCAAAGUCAUGGUUAAGUGGGAAACGAUGUGGGAAGGCCCAGACAGCCAGGAUGUUGGCUUAGAAGCAGCCAUCAUUUAAAGAAAGCGUAAUAGCUCACUGGUCGAGUCGGCCUGCGCGGAAGAUGUAACGGGGCUAAACCAUGCACCGAAGCUGCGGCAGCGACGCUUAUGCGUUGUUGGGUAGGGGAGCGUUCUGUAAGCCUGCGAAGGUGUGCUGUGAGGCAUGCUGGAGGUAUCAGAAGUGCGAAUGCUGACAUAAGUAACGAUAAAGCGGGUGAAAAGCCCGCUCGCCGGAAGACCAAGGGUUCCUGUCCAACGUUAAUCGGGGCAGGGUGAGUCGACCCCUAAGGCGAGGCCGAAAGGCGUAGUCGAUGGGAAACAGGUUAAUAUUCCUGUACUUGGUGUUACUGCGAAGGGGGGACGGAGAAGGCUAUGUUGGCCGGGCGACGGUUGUCCCGGUUUAAGCGUGUAGGCUGGUUUUCCAGGCAAAUCCGGAAAAUCAAGGCUGAGGCGUGAUGACGAGGCACUACGGUGCUGAAGCAACAAAUGCCCUGCUUCCAGGAAAAGCCUCUAAGCAUCAGGUAACAUCAAAUCGUACCCCAAACCGACACAGGUGGUCAGGUAGAGAAUACCAAGGCGCUUGAGAGAACUCGGGUGAAGGAACUAGGCAAAAUGGUGCCGUAACUUCGGGAGAAGGCACGCUGAUAUGUAGGUGAAGUCCCUUGCGGAUGGAGCUGAAAUCAGUCGAAGAUACCAGCUGGCUGCAACUGUUUAUUAAAAACACAGCACUGUGCAAACACGAAAGUGGACGUAUACGGUGUGACGCCUGCCCGGUGCCGGAAGGUUAAUUGAUGGGGUCAGCGCAAGCGAAGCUCUUGAUCGAAGCCCCGGUAAACGGCGGCCGUAACUAUAACGGUCCUAAGGUAGCGAAAUUCCUUGUCGGGUAAGUUCCGACCUGCACGAAUGGCGUAAUGAUGGCCAGGCUGUCUCCACCCGAGACUCAGUGAAAUUGAACUCGCUGUGAAGAUGCAGUGUACCCGCGGCAAGACGGAAAGACCCCGUGAACCUUUACUAUAGCUUGACACUGAACAUUGAGCCUUGAUGUGUAGGAUAGGUGGGAGGCUUUGAAGUGUGGACGCCAGUCUGCAUGGAGCCGGCCUUGAAAUACCACCCUUUAAUGUUUGAUGUUCUAACGUGGACCCGUGAUCCGGGUUGCGGACAGUGUCUGGUGGGUAGUUUGACUGGGGCGGUCUCCUCCUAAAGAGUAACGGAGGAGCACGAAGGUUGGCUAAUCCUGGUCGGACAUCAGGAGGUUAGUGCAAUGGCAUAAGCCAGCUUGACUGCGAGCGUGACGGCGCGAGCAGGUGCGAAAGCAGGUCAUAGUGAUCCGGUGGUUCUGAAUGGAAGGGCCAUCGCUCAACGGAUAAAAGGUACUCCGGGGAUAACAGGCUGAUACCGCCCAAGAGUUCAUAUCGACGGCGGUGUUUGGCACCUCGAUGUCGGCUCAUCACAUCCUGGGGCUGAAGUAGGUCCCAAGGGUAUGGCUGUUCGCCAUUUAAAGUGGUACGCGAGCUGGGUUUAGAACGUCGUGAGACAGUUCGGUCCCUAUCUGCCGUGGGCGCUGGAGAACUGAGGGGGGCUGCUCCUAGUACGAGAGGACCGGAGUGGACGCAUCACUGGUGUUCGGGUUGUCAUGCCAAUGGCACUGCCCGGUAGCUAAAUGCGGAAGAGAUAAGUGCUGAAAGCAUCUAAGCACGAAACUUGCCCCGAGAUGAGUUCUCCCUGACCCUUUAAGGGUCCUGAAGGAACGUUGAAGACGACGACGUUGAUAGGCCGGGUGUGUAAGCGCAGCGAUGCGUUGAGCUAACCGGUACUAAUGAACCGUGAGGCUUAACCUU
rnacentral:rRNA from 1 species